CCGGCUGGAACAUUUCAGCCCGCCUGCCACGUCAGUUUGCCUCCACCAUCCUCCUGCUCUCACCCUGUCUCGCAAAAGGCGAACGACAUAAAAAUGCACCGCUUCCAUUUGGUGUUUGGACACACUGAGGCCACUGGACUGGAGAUCAUCUUUAGCAGUGGUAUUAUUAAGGGGUAUUUUUAUUUCACUGGAAGAAUGGAAACGAAAGAAUUUGACUGAGUCCUUGGAGGAAAAAAAAAAAUCAAGUGGGUAGCGACCCGCAGUUGUAAUGACCUCGGGGUCCUUCCUCCUAUCAGAGUCCUCCUCACCCCCCCGCCUGCCCAGUGUUCAGACUACCUGUUCAUCCGGCUACAGCUGAACAGUAGUCUGCACAUUGGUUAGGCUGGGCUGGGACACACACACACCUCCAGCCGCCGCCGGUGACACCCAAUCUCCACUUGGGAUAGUUUAUCCCAACAGUGCCAAAUGCAUUAUCUUCAUCUUUAUGCAUUCCUAUGGUGCUGUGUCAUCUUUUCUUAGCUAUCCAUAUCCCUAGUGUACAGUGAAAUACAGCACUGGAAAAGAACUUCUUCUCACCUCCUCAUCUUUGUACCAGGACAGGGACUCCGCAGUCAAGACAAACCAGUACUCCUUGGAUCCUCCUUUCAUGAUGCUGAUGUUGAUUGUUAGCCAGCCUUUCCUGAUCACCUACACAGCAAGGAGUAGAUAUAGGGGAGAGAAGGGUUGGCAGGGAGAGAGGAGUACCAGGAGGAUGAAGGAAAACAGUCAGGCUUAUGCACUGGUGACAAGAGGGCCCCAUAAGUGUUAAUGGGAUGGGACUGAAACUAAUAUCUUACCUGCUUCCCCACUCGGUUAAUGUCACCUUUGUAUCUCAUUAUUCAACAUUUUGUGUUUAUGCAACUAAUAUUACAUAAAUAUGCACUACAAUAUAGAAGUAUGGAUUAAACAAAGGGCAGUAAUACUAAAUGUGUAAUUUGGCUAAAUGUAAAAAAAAAAAAAAUCAACAAAUGGUUAAAUUGAAAACACUGAAAGGGGAUGUAGUUCUUGUUCUUCUUCCACUCAAUACAAAAUAAAUCCUUAAAACAACAAACAGGACGAGAUGGUGUCCAGACUAUAUGUCAGCCCUGACACAGAGUCAAAGACCAAAGGUCGACAAUGUUAUGUUAGUGGCAGUGGGUCAGUAAAAGCUCAGUAGUUUAAAGCAUGGAUAGUUGGGUUAACUGAACUCGGUUAUACAACGGUUUAGGCCAUGUCUCUCUAAUGAUUUCCAUGCAAUGGGGGAAGCAAUCUGUGAAAAGCGUGCUCUUGUGAUAAGUAAAGCGAAUGGGAAAUUUGAAAGUCUGCUUUAGACCUUGCUUCUGCACUCUUCCAUCCCGCGGACAACCGGAAUAAAGUAUGGGGGAGGGAAGGGUUCAUUAGGUCAAAACUGACAACAUAAACAUGGGAGAGGAGGAGAUCACAUAGGAGCUAAACUUGUAGUUUGCCUUGACGAGGAAAAAACUAAGAAAGCAAGGAGUUUUUAAUGCUCUAUAGUAAAGUCAGUUAGAAAUGUUCUAACCAAGUUGACAUUAAGAAAAAACGAGGUGUAAGGGUUUUACAGAUGACAUGCUUUAGGAAUAGACUGUCAAGAAACGUUUACAUACGAAUACAUUUCGGUUAUUGCCAGUGGUAAUUAAAGAUGUGCAAUUACAUCGGGAACUCCAAGGAUUCAAAGAAAAAAAAAUCUAUUUUUAAAUGAUUAGAAUGAAACAUGCCAAUUUAAAAUGAAUUAAGAUAGUUAGUAGGUUUUAAAAUUAAAGAUUUAUUACCAAGGAUCAAUGACUAAAUCAUUGAAAUUACAUCCCAAAGCCAUGACCCGUCACCAUACAAAAUAACACUUUUGUUCAGCUCUCCAUACAGAGAUAACAAUUAAACACUUGGAGACAGGUGGGUUUUUGGAUACCGGCAUGUACGUACUUUCUGUAGGAACUGUUUUAACAUGCAUGUAAUCUAAAAA